UUUGAACCGUUGAGGGAGAAAAGUAAGAAAGAAUACACAUGACUAGAGAGGAAAUGCCUUAGGCUGAGAGCAUUUCUACAUGAUGACUUCUCUGAAAAACACUUCUUAGGUUUCUUUCUGAAAAGCAUCUGUUUAGUAGGAAAUGAACGUUACAGGCGUUAACUGUUUGAGUGGGAGUAGUGUAUGAACUACUUCAACUAGGGUGGAACCACGGGUAUAACUCUCGUCCCUACU
rnacentral:ncRNA from 1 species